GGCCCAAUAGCACAGCGAUUAGUGCGCCUGCUGAAUCAGUUGAUCGGUCAGUUCCGUUGACGAGGAGACCCUCGUUCGAAUCGAGGUUGGGCCA